rnacentral:lncRNA from 1 species
GGGCGCAAAACAUUCAAAACUGUGAGUGGACAAAAAUAAAGGUCUAGAAAAUAGCAUAUGAACAUACUAAAAACAGUUAUGCAAAACUGAAUUUUCCUCUUCAUUAUAUUCGUACUAAAAUCAAUGCAUUCACAUAAUUAUAUACGUAUAUGCCAAUCAUACUCAAUGUCAAUAAAACUCUCUUAAAAGCAUUGAAAUCAAUUUAAAACUACCACCUAGGUGU